UACGAAGGGGGAUCGCGUUGUUCGGAAUUACUGGGCGUAAAGCGCACGUAGGCGGACUCUUAAGUCAGGGGUGAAAUCCCGGGGCUCAACCUCGGAACUGCCUUUGAUACUGUGAGUCUCGAGACUGGAAGAGGUGAGUGGAAUUCCUAGUGUAGAGGUGAAAUUCGUAGAUAUUAGGAAGAACACCAGUGGCGAAGGCGGCUCACUGGUCCGGUUCGGACGCUGAGGUGCGAAAGCGUGGGGAGCAAACAGG
rnacentral:rRNA from 1 species